ACGAACGCUGGCGGCGUGCCUAACACAUGCAAGUGGAGCGACGAACCGGGGCUUGCCCCGGGGCAGAGCCGCGAACGGGUGAGUAACACGUGGGUAACCUGCCCCGAUGACUGGGACAACCCGUCGAAUGACGGGCUAAUACCGGAUGUGCCCCUUGGGGGAAAGGAAGCUUCGGCCUCCGCAUCGGGAUGGGCCCGCGGCGCAUUAGCUUGUUGGUGGGGUAAUGGCUUACCAAGGCGACGAUGCGUAGCUGGUCUGAGAGGACGAUCAGCCACACUGGGACUGAGACACGGCCCAGACUCCUACGGGAGGCAGCAGUGGGGAAUCUUGCACAAUGCGCGAAAGCGUGAUGCAGCAACGCCGCGUGCGGGAAGAAGGCCUUAGGGUUGUAAACCGCUUUCAGUUGGGACGAAGCUUCAGUCGUUAAUAGCGGUUUGGAGUGACGGUACCUUCAGAAGAAGCGCCGGCUAACUACGU
rnacentral:rRNA from 1 species